GUGGAUUAGAUACCCGGGUAGUCCACGCCCUAAACGAUGUCAACUAGUUGUUCGGAGAGGUAACUUUCUGAGUAACGCAGCUAACGCGUGAAGUUGACCGCCUGGGGAGUACGGCCGCAAGGUUAAAACUCAAAGGAAUUGACGGGGACCCGCACAAGCGGUGGAUGAUGUGGAUUAAUUCGAUGCAACGCGAAAAACCUUACCUACCCUUGACAUGCCUGGAAUCCUUGAGAGAUCAGGGAGUGCCUUCGGGAGCCAGGACACAGGUGCUGCAUGGCUGUCGCCAACU
rnacentral:rRNA from 1 species